GAUGAACGCUGGCUGCGUGCCUAAUACAUGCAAGUCGAGCGAACAGACGAGGAGCUUGCUCCUCUGACGUUAGCGGCGGACGGGUGAGUAACACGUGGAUAACCUACCUAUAAGACUGGGAUAACUUCGGGAAACCGGAGCUAAUACCGGAUAAUAUAUUGAACCGCAUGGUUCAAUAGUGAAAGACGGUUUUGCUGUCACUUAUAGAUGGAUCCGCGCCGCAUUAGCUAGUUGGUAAGGUAACGGCUUACCAAGGCAACGAUGCGUAGCCGACCUGAGAGGGUGAUCGGCCACACUGGAACUGAGACACGGUCCAGACUCCUACGGGAGGCAGCAGUAGGGAAUCUUCCGCAAUGGGCGAAAGCCUGACGGAGCAACGCCGCGUGAGUGAUGAAGGUCUUCGGAUCGUAAAACUCUGUUAUUAGGGAAGAACAAAUGUGUAAGUAACUAUGCACGUCUUGACGGUACCUAAUCAGAAAGCCACGGCUAACUACGUG
rnacentral:rRNA from 1 species